AAGGCUGUGAGAAAGCAAACACUCCAGAAACCUCAGAGACAGGCUGUGAACAAAAUAAUGAACAAAACUCCCUCUUUGGCUACCAGAAAGCAGCCAGUUCUCAUUUGGGCCUUCAAAUGCAACAAAACUGCAAGAACACGAGACGGGAGCAGAAAUGAGAACGUGUGACACCCAUGGGAGGGAAAAGUGCACAUGGAGUGUCCAAGCUGUGCCCAGAGCCAUCAGCUUGACAUCAGUCAAGGCCACUGGAAAGCCAAAAGCAAUCCAACCACCUCCCCAUGUUCCAGCAUGUGGGUAACAAGCUCAGUUAACUGACAAAGUCUGGCACAGAACAGAGGUGUCUGAGCAGGCCAGGAUGCUCCAGGGACAACCUUCUUCAAAGAACAAUGGUAACUGUGAGAGGACAUUCCCCUUUCCAGUUAGUUUUUCUGUUGACUCCAGAGAACUACACUUGGGCAGCUGCAAGAUUUUUCCUCAAAAGACUUAAGGCCACUCAGGAUACCCGAGAUAGUACCACCACCAAUGUUGGACAAAAUAUGAAAUUGUGCUGGAGAAAAAACUGGGGCAAAAGGAGUGCAGGCAGUUAUGAUUUUCAAGACUUCUGAGGGGAGGAAGGUGCUCAGGCAAGGCUGCCUUUUAACUGUUGCCCAACUCAAGAUAGCAUCAAAUAAGCUCCUAAUAAAUACUUGGCUUCACAACAGAUUCAUACUGAAAUUUAUAAUUUAAGCACAUUCCUCUAGAUUUCAGUCAGACAAGAAGCUAAUGCAAACUUUUCAUUUGCUAGAAGAAUUAUUAUUAUUACAUCUCAAAUUUAGUUCAGUGCAAGAGAUUAUACAUUUAAGCUGAUUAAAAAGCUUAACUAGUUAA